rnacentral:rRNA from 1 species
UACGUAGGGUGCGAGCGUUAAUCGGAAUCACUGGGCGUAAAGGGCGCGUAGGCGGCCGGGCAAGUCUGGUGUGAAAGCCCAGGGCUCAACCCUGGAAGGGCACUGGAAACUGUCUGGCUUGAGUUCCGGAGAGGAGGGGGGAAUUCCCGGUGUAGCGGUGAAAUGCGUAGAUAUCGGGAGGAAUACCGGUGGCGAAGGCGCCCCUCUGGACGGGUACUGACGCUGAGGCGCGAAAGCGUGGGGAGCAAACAGG